GGAAUAUUGCACAAUGGAGGAAACUCUGAUGCAGCGACGCCGCGUGAACGAUGAAGGCCUUCGGGUCGUAAAGUUCUGUCCUUGGGGACGAUAAUGACGGUACCCAAGGAGGAAGCCCCGGCUAACUACGUGCCAGCAGCCGCGGUAAUACGUAGGGGGCGAGCGUUGUCCGGAAUUAUUGGGCGUAAAGGGUUCGCAGGCGGCCUUUUAAGUCAGAUGUGAAAGAUCACGGCUCAACCGUGGUAAGCAUUUGAAACUGGAAGGCUUGAGUUAAGGAGAGGAAAGUGGAAUUCCUAGUGUAGCGGUGAAAUGCGUAGAUAUUAGGAGGAAUACCAGUGGCGAAGGCGACUUUCUGGACUUAUACUGACGCUGAGGAACGAAAGCGUGGGGAGCAAACA
rnacentral:rRNA from 1 species